UCCGCUCAUGUGGACUCUGAUUCGGACAUACACAACAGUAUGUAUGCCAUUUAGGGGUUUCCAUGGACGGAGAGAGAUCCGUCUGCCCUAAUCCAUUGCCGUCUCCCGCGGCCGCUCUAAGUUUUGACUCAUCAACGCAUCACCUCCGCCUGUCGAUGAUAAACAACCGAUCUAGAAGGGACCAAAAAGGCCGUCGUGCAUCUGUACAAUCUUGUGGACAGGCAGAAAUGGAGAGAUGCUCCACGACGAUGACGAUCAAGGUGAAGUGUACCUGACUGCUGUAUAGUGCUGUUUAAUGUUGUAUAUGAUCCGUCUGGCCUACUCCAUCCCCAGCCAUCGCCGUCGCUUCCGCCACUCAAAGUUUUGACUCAUCGACGCAUCACCUCUGCCUGUCGUUGACAAUCAACCGAUCUACCGGAAUCAGAGCCGUCGUGUAUCUGUAAAAUCUUGUGACAGGCAGAAACGGAUAGACAUGCAGAGGAUGCUGCUCGAGGACGACGAUCAGGGUAAAGUGUACCUGAAUGAUUCUGUAUUAUGAUCCGUCUGCCCUAAUCCGUCCCCGGCCAUCGCCGUCGCUCCCGCCACUCAAAGUUUUGACUCGUCGACGCCUCCGCCUGUCGUCGAUAAUCAACCGAUCUACCAGGACCAGAGCCGUCGUUUAUCUGUAAAAUCUUGUGUAAUUUGGUCGAGGAUGAUGCUCGGCGACAGGCAGGAACGGAGAGACAGGCAGAGGAUGCUGCUCGAGGACGACGAUCAAUGCGAAGUGUACCUGAAUGCUGCGUGUGAUCCAUGGAUCUAUGAAUCGAAGCAGAUUGCAGAUCUACCAUCCGAUGAAGUUCCUUCGAGUGGUUGAAAUUUGCCGGGUGAUCGAAUCCGCAGAUCGAAUAAUCAUGGAAGAUGCAAAUAACAGAUUCGAUCGACAGUGCCAAGAACUCCGCCGAGAGAAAUCCACCGGAUUCCUGAAAGCGAGAAGCAGGGGAAUAUCGCGCUCUGAUGAAAAGAGGAGUUUGAUUUAUAGCGGGGAGGAGGGAGGGGGUGUGGAUGGGCCGGUUCGGCCCAUUAAUCGAUUCUCCCGGUUGAUCCCGGUUUGUCGACCGUCCGGUUCAGCCUUGAGGGUAGGGGUAAAAUGGGAAAAUCACAUGAGGUGGGGGAAUUGGAAUUGGAUUGAGAGAAAAGAGAGGAAAAAAAGAAAGCGCC
rnacentral:lncRNA from 1 species